rnacentral:tmRNA from 1 species
GGGGAUGAUCAGUUUCGACAGGGAAAUAGGAAUGUGUUCGUGCACAACAAAGCUGAGGCAACUUUUUAAACUGUCUCAAAUUCUAAGUGCAAACAAAACUGCACGUGGAGUUCUUUCACCUAUUCAGAUGAAGGACCUUCAGUUCGCUUACGCUCGAGUAGCCUAAGCGCCGUCCACCGGUCCGACGCUUGAUCAAGAUCGAAUGGGCGUAAAAAAUUUCAAGCACUGAUGCGCGCCUUUCCCACGCGCAUCUAAGACAUGGGACUCGGCAUUGUAUCGUUUCGUUCAUCUUUAAGAUGCAGCGCCUAAACCUCAAGAUGAUCUACGUUGUGUAGAAGCGCUCAUAUUCUCUUCUCUGGACCCGGGUGCAAUUCCCGGCAUCUCCACUG